rnacentral:rRNA from 1 species
GGGUUGUGAGGUUAAGUGACUAAGCGUACACGGUGGAUGCCUAGGCAGUCAGAGGCGAUGAAGGGCGUGCUAAUCUGCGAAAAGCGUCGGUAAGGUGAUAUGAACCGUUAUAACCGGCGAUACCCGAAUGGGGAAACCCAGUGUGUUUCGACACACUAUCAUGUCAUGAAUACAUAGUGGCAUGAGGCGAACCGGGGGAACUGAAACAUCUAAGUACCCCGAGGAAAAGAAAUCAACCGAGAUUCCCCCAGUAGCGGCGAGCGAACGGGGAGGAGCCCAGAACCUGAAUCGGCUUGUGUGUUAGUGGAAGCGUCUGGAAAGUCGCGCAGCAAAGGGUGAUAGCCCCGUACACUAAAAUGCACAGGUCGUGAGUUCGAUGAGUAGGGCGGGACACGUGACAUCCUGUCUGAAUAUGGGGGGACCAUCCUCCAAGGCUAAAUACUCCUGACUGACCGAUAGUGAACCAGUACCGUGAGGGAAAGGCGAAAAGAACCCCGGCGAGGGGAGUGAAAUAGAACCUGAAACCGUGUACGUACAAGCAGUGGGAGCACCUUCGUGGUGUGACUGCGUACCUUUUGUAUAAUGGGUCAGCGACUUAUAUUUUGUAGCAAGGUUAACCGUAUAGGGGAGCCGUAGGGAAACCGAGUCUUAACUGGGCGACUAGUUGCAAGGUAUAGACCCGAAACCCGGUGAUCUAGCCAUGGGCAGGUUGAAGGUUGGGUAACACUAACUGGAGGACCGAACCGACUAAUGUUGAAAAAUUAGCGGAUGACUUGUGGCUGGGGGUGAAAGGCCAAUCAAACCGGGAGAUAGCUGGUUCUCCCCGAAAGCUAUUUAGGUAGCGCCUCGUGAACUCAUCUUCGGGGGUAGAGCACUGUUUCGGCUAGGGGGCCAUCCCGGCUUACCAAACCGAUGCAAACUCCGAAUACCGAAGAAUGUUAUCACGGGAGACACACGGCGGGUGCUAACGUCCGUCGUGAAGAGGGAAACAACCCAGACCGCCAGCUAAGGUCCCAAAGUCAUGGUUAAGUGGGAAACGAUGUGGGAAGGCAUAGACAGCCAGGAUGUUGGCUUAGAAGCAGCCAUCAUUUAAAGAAAGCGUAAUAGCUCACUGGUCGAGUCGGCCUGCGCGGAAGAUGUAACGGGGCUAAACCAUGCACCGAAGCUGCGGCAGCGACGCUUAGGCGUUGUUGGGUAGGGGAGCGUUCUGUAAGCCGUUGAAGGUGGCCUGUGAGGGUUGCUGGAGGUAUCAGAAGUGCGAAUGCUGACAUAAGUAACGAUAAAGCGGGUGAAAAGCCCGCUCGCCGGAAGACCAAGGGUUCCUGUCCAACGUUAAUCGGGGCAGGGUGAGUCGACCCCUAAGGCGAGGCUGAAAAGCGUAGUCGAUGGGAAACAGGUUAAUAUUCCUGUACUUGGUGUUACUGCGAAGGGGGGACGGAGAAGGCUAGGCUAGCCGGGCGACGGUUGUCCCGGUUUAAGCGUGUAGGGGGUGUGACCUGGUAAAUCCGGUUGCAUACUACCCUGAGGCGUGAUGACGAUGCACUACGGUGCAGAAGUAGUUGAUGCCCUGCUUCCAGGAAAAUCCUCUAAGCUCCAGGUAACAUUAAAUCGUACCCCAAACCGACACAGGUGGUCAGGUAGAGAAUACCAAGGCGCUUGAGAGAACUCGGGUGAAGGAACUAGGCAAAAUGGUGCCGUAACUUCGGGAGAAGGCACGCUGGCAUGUAGGUGAAGUCCCUCGCGGAUGGAGCUGAAGCCAGUCGAAGAUACCAGCUGGCUGCAACUGUUUAAUAAAAACACAGCACUGUGCAAACACGAAAGUGGACGUAUACGGUGUGACGCCUGCCCGGUGCUGGAAGGUUAAUUGAUGGGGUCAGCCGCAAGGCGAAGCUCUUGAUCGAAGCCCCAGUAAACGGCGGCCGUAACUAUAACGGUCCUAAGGUAGCGAAAUUCCUUGUCGGGUAAGUUCCGACCUGCACGAAUGGCGUAAUGAUGGCCAGGCUGUCUCCACCCGAGACUCAGUGAAAUUGAACUCGCUGUGAAGAUGCAGUGUACCCGCGGCAAGACGGAAAGACCCCGUGAACCUUUACUAUAGCUUGACACUGAACAUUGAGCCUUGAUGUGUAGGAUAGGUGGGAGGCUUUGAAGCGUGGACGCCAGUCUGCGUGGAGCCAUCCUUGAAAUACCACCCUUUAAUGUUUGAUGUUCUAACUCGGCCCCGUAAUCCGGGGUGAGGACAGUGUCUGGUGGGUAGUUUGACUGGGGCGGUCUCCUCCCAAAGAGUAACGGAGGAGCACGAAGGUUAGCUAAUCACGGUCGGACAUCGUGAGGUUAGUGCAAAGGCAUAAGCUAGCUUGACUGCGAGAGUGACGGCUCGAGCAGGUACGAAAGUAGGUCUUAGUGAUCCGGUGGUUCUGAAUGGAAGGGCCAUCGCUCAACGGAUAAAAGGUACUCCGGGGAUAACAGGCUGAUACCGCCCAAGAGUUCAUAUCGACGGCGGUGUUUGGCACCUCGAUGUCGGCUCAUCACAUCCUGGGGCUGAAGUAGGUCCCAAGGGUAUGGCUGUUCGCCAUUUAAAGUGGUACGCGAGCUGGGUUUAGAACGUCGUGAGACAGUUCGGUCCCUAUCUGCCGUGGGCGUUGGAAGAUUGAGAGGGGUUGCUCCUAGUACGAGAGGACCGGAGUGAACGCACCACUGGUGUUCGGGUUGUCAUGCCAAUGGCAUUGCCCGGUAGCUAAGUGCGGAAAAGAUAAGCGCUGAAAGCAUCUAAGCGCGAAACUUGCCUCAAGAUGAGUCUUCCCUGGGCCUUCAAGGCCCCUGAAGGAACGUUUAAGACUAAGACGUUGAUAGGCUGGGUGUGUAAGUGCAGCGAUGCAUUGAGCUAACCAGUACUAAUGAUCCGUGAGGCUUAACCUUACAACACCGAAGGUGUUU